GUACCCUUAGCUCAGUUGGUUAGAGCAACGGACUCAUAAUCGUCCGGUCGUAGGUUCGAGUCCUACAGGGUACA
rnacentral:tRNA from 1 species